GUAAAUAAUUAAGGGCGUAUGGUGGAUGCCUAGGCUCUCAGAGGCGAUGAAGGACGUGAUAAGCUGCGAAAAGCUCCGUUUAGGUGCAAAUAACCUUUGAUGCGGAGAUCUCCGAAUGGGAUAACCCAAUAUGUUGAAGACAUAUUAUACCGUAAGGUAGGCAAACGCAGGGAACUGAAACAUCUAAGUACCUGCAGGAGAAGAAAACAAACGUGAUUCCCCCAGUAGCGGCGAGCGACCGGGGAAAAGCCCAAACCGUUAUUGUUUCGGCAGUAGCGGGGUAGUAGGACUGCGACAUUGAUGAAAUAAAUGAAAUGGAACACCUUGGAAAAUGUGAUCACAGAGGGUGAUAAUCCCGUACAUGCAAGUUUAUGAAUCAUAGCAGACUCCUGAGUAAGUCGGGACACGUGUAAUCCUGACCGAAUCCGCCGGGACCAUCCGGCAAGGCUAAAUACUCCUGAGAGACCGAUAGUGAACCAGUACCGUGAGGGAAAGGUGAAAAGCACUUCGAACAGAAGAGUGAAAUAGUCCCUGAACCCAUACGCCUACAAGCAGUCGGAGCCGCUUCGUGCGGUGACGGCGUGCCUUUUGCAUAAUGAGCCUACGAGUUACUCAUCACCAGCGAGGUUAAGUACUUCAGGUACGUAAGCCGAAGCGAAAGCGAGUCUGAAUAGGGCGUCAAGUUGGUGGUGGUAGACGCGAAACCUUAGUGAUCUACCCAUGGGCAGGGUGAAGGUUUGGUAACACAAACUGGAGGCCCGAACCGGUAAACGUUGAAAAGUUUUCGGAUGACCUGUGGGUAGGGGUGAAAGGCCAAUCAAACUGGGAAAUAGCUCGUACUCUCCGAAAUGCAUUUAGGUGCAGCCUCUGUUGUUUUGUUCUAGAGGUAGAGCUACUGAUUGGAUGCGAGGGCUUCACCGCCUAUCAAAUCCGGCCAAACUCCGAAUGCUAGAACAUGAAGACAGGGAGUGAGCCAGCGGGUGCUAAGGUCCGUUGACGAAAGAGGGAGAACUCAGACCAUCAGCUAAGGUCCCCAAUUGUAUGCUAAGUUGGAAUUAAAACGGGGUGGGACUGCUUAGACAGCUAGGAUGUUGGCUUGGAAGCAGCCAUUCAUUUAAAGAGUGCGUAACAGCUCACUAGUCGAGCGGUCCUGCAUGGAUAAUACGCGGGCAUAAGCAUAUAACCGAAGCUAUGGGAUUGUAGAUGAUACAAUCGGUAGGAGAGCAUUCCAUUCAGCGUAGAAGCAGUAUCGUGAGGUAUUGUGGAGCGGAUGGAAAAGCAAAUGUAGGCAUAAGUAACGAUAAUGCGGGUGAGAACCCCGCACGCCGAAAGAUCAAGGAUUCCCCGGCAAUGUCAAUCAUCCGGGGGUAAGUCGGAUCCUAAGGGUAAGCCGAGUGGCGAUCCCGAUGGCAAACAGGUUAAUAUUCCUGUACUGAUCAUAACUGCGAUGCAGCGACGCAGAGGUGACACUGCUGCGUACUGACGGAAUAGUACGUUGAAACCCGUAUUCUUUGAUACCGGUAGUGAAGCACGCCGGUAGAGAUGAAAGGUGAUAGUACCGCAAUGCUUCGGUUGCGCGGAUAAUGCAGGUAAGCUGACUGCCAAGAAAACCUGCUAAGCUUCAGGUAAUGAUCAUCCGUACUGUAAACGGACACACGUGAUCAGGUAGAAAAUACUAAGGCGCUCGAGAGAUUCAUGGUUAAGGAACUAGGCAAAAUGGUCCUGUAACUUCGGGAUAAAGGACGCUCUUGUGAAAGAGCCGCAGAUAAUAGGCCCAGGCGACUGUUUACCAAAAACACAUGGCUAUGCUAAUUCGCAAGAAGAUGUAUAUGGCCUGACACCUGCCCGGUGCCGGAAGGUUAAGAGGAGAGCUCAGAGGUAACUCGAAGGUUUGAAUUGAAGCCCCGGUAAACGGCGGCCGUAACUAUAACGGUCCUAAGGUAGCGAAAUUCCUUGUCGGGU
rnacentral:rRNA from 1 species